rnacentral:tRNA from 1 species
GGGGAAGUGUGAUGCCUUGUUAGGGAUCGUUAUUUUCUCGGAUCACACUGGGGGUGUGGAGGUCGCAGGUUCGAAUCCUGCCGUCCCGACCA